rnacentral:lncRNA from 1 species
GGAAAUUACUUGGCCUACAAGAGUAAGAUGCGUGAGAGUUUACUUCUACAACAAAUCAAACUUCCGAGUUAUUCAAUCAUUAAUAUUCUACAUUAUGCUACAUAAUGUUUGCAUUAUCUUUUUACAGCUCAACAACUACUCAGCGUGCCUCCUGCCACCAGGCCGACCUCCCAGGCUCGGGGGUUCGGGGGCUUAGGGCGGGAGGCGACUCGGCGUGCUUCCGUGGCUCGGCCGGCCCCCGACUCGGGGGCUGGGUGCCACAGAUGACUCGGCGAGCCUCCUGCUGCUCGGCCGACCUCUUUGGCUUGGGGCAGGAGGCGACUCGGUGUACUUCCGUGACUUGGGUGGCUCCCAGGCUCAGGGGCUG